CCCCCCCCAGCUGUUUUUCCGCCCGGCUCUCUGAAAGCCUUAUUGAUGGCCCAACGUGCGCGCCUCAGCCCACGGUUUCCCCGGCCCCCGGAGCAGCCCGCGCUUCCUCUGACGUGGCCUCUGUCUUCUGCCCUCCCCGGGAGCCCCGGGCCUUUCACGUUUCAAACGCUCGACAGCUGGCCGCGCCGCCGCUUCCGCCCCAAGAAGGGCUCUUGGCACCGCACCACGGCCCGGCCGGCGCCGCGCUCUCUUCUCUCCAGCUGUGACAGAGGCUUUUUCUAGAGACUCGGAGAAGCUGCUGUCCAGCUGCGGCCUCGCCCGGUCCCGGGCUCUGCAUGUUAAUCAGCGGCCGCUCACUGCCCCGUUUGUGGGGCUCCGGCAGGUGCGCCCCCAGCCGGUCCCUUGCGCCCGCUCGCUCGGGCAGCCCCCUCAACAUCAGGACGGGUACACAUAGUCAUUUUCCACACUGAACUAAGGCACGAGAGACUCGCCAGCCUUGGCCAGGCACCGGCAGGGCCACGCCCCCUCUCCACACUAUCUAGCGAGUGCGACAGUCCUUCACGUGGCCGAUCUUCUUCAGUCUAGAAUCCAUCCCCCUGAGGACUGGACCCUGGCAUCCUUUAUGCUUGUGGGCCUUGCAGACAUGAAGGGAUGAAAGGGACAGAAAGGGAACAACAGGAAAUGUAAUGAGCACCCACGCCACGUGGAGAACCACAGUCCAAGCUUCUGUGGCCAGCAUCUGAUGUUACCCACCCGGCCAUCUAGCAAGGACAGUGUUAAUUUCUCCAUUUUUUUUUUUCGUGGUAAAUAAUAUUUGGGUUGUAUUGACGGUAGGAAGGGAAAAUGUAUUAAAACUCCUAUUCCUCACUU